AGCGUUUUGUGCUUCCAACCGGUGGAAAGAACGUCCGUGCGAGCCGAGCAGGCCAAUAGCCCAGAAAACUCUGAAGGCGGGCGCGAACAAGUGAGCCGUAGCCAGGCCCCGAAGUAGCCGAGUGUAAAUAAAGUAUACUCGCAGAGAGUCGAAACGCCAGCCGAAAUACAAAUGAAAAGUGAAAGAAAUUGUUCAAAUUGCAAACUGUGAGAUAAUCCGACAAAAAAUAUCCGAAACACAUACAAAAAUAUACACCACGGAUAGAACUCAGUGCCUCUGGGAAGCUGCUGACGGCUGAAUCGAAGGGAUAAACUUUUGGCACGCAAUGCCCACGUCGACCCGUCGGUCUCCAAGCGCAGAGUGCGGUUGCGGGGAGUGCGGUCGAGGAGACUAGAGAUACAGAUACAGAUACAUAUACAGAUACACAUACAGAUACGGGCACAGAGCUGAAGCUGAAGCUGAAGUCGAACAUGUGCCAAGGCCUCGGGCCGCUUCGAAUUGCUUCUGGUGAAACCGCGACGAGGGCGACGAUGCUGCUUGAUUUAAGCCAAGUUAAAUAAACCGGCCAAGCAAACACCGACACGCACGCACACCCUCACGCACGCACGCACAGACACACACACGCAUCUACAUCUACAUCUAGAAUCACAAUCACAAUCAGAAGCAAAAACAAAUAAGACUUUUGGACUACCACAAAAGAGAAAUGGCUGCGCCCAUCGAUGAGAGUGUGCUGAACGCACUGAAGGGUGUGACCUCGAAACAGACCCGCCUGCCCAAGCCGCUGCUGAUCAAGAUCUAUGUCGCCAGCCUGAAGCAGGAGUUCAACCAGGAGCGCCGCAUGCUGCUGGAGCUGGUGGGGCCCGAGCUGCAGGGCCUCUACGAUGACCGUCAAAUCGAGCUGGAGUUCGUGGACAUGCACUUUGGCACUGGGGCCCUGGAGAUCAACCAACUGGAGCGGGAUCCCUAUAUGCUACAGGACUAUCUCCACGAGAUCGACACCUGUCAUGCCCACACGAAGAGCGUCUUCUUCCUGGCCCUCAUCGGCGACGGGCUCGGACGCCUGACGCUGCCCACGCAUCUGGACGAGGACAUCUAUGCCGCGGUGUUGGCCGACCGUCAGACAACGCCCGAACAGGAGGCUCUUCUAGCCCGGUGGUAUGAGAUGGACUCCUCCAAGGCACAGCGUCAGCUGAAGCAGGACUACCGGGUACUACCCAUGGACGCCUGGCUCAGCGAGUCCCAGCAGAUGCAGAGGAUGCUAGAGCAGGCCCUGCACGGUUUUGUCCAAGGACCUGGGGCAUCAGCGCGAUCCGCAGACUUCCUGAAACGGGUCCAGCUGCUGAGGCGCACGCAGAUCGAGCGCGAAGUGGAGCAGGCAAUGGCGCUCUCCAGCGAGAAGAUCUUGGCCGUGUUUCGGGAACGGGCAGCACAGAGCAGCAAGAGGGAUGUGGAGGCCAAUGACCGGCUGCGCAAGAUCAAGGACGAGCUCACGAUGAACCUCUCCACGGACAAUCACACCACCCUAGUGGUGCCGGGCAGUGCCUCAUGCGAAAUGAUCGACCCGGACAAUGAGGACCACGAGUCCUAUCUCAGCAAGUUUAAGAACAAAGUCACCGACAAGCUGCGGCUGCUAAUCGAGGCGCACAUUACCAAUGAUCCCGAUGUAAUCAAGGGGAGGAAAAAGACUGUUCAGGAAAUCUUUCACGAGCACGCCACUCACCUGCGCAUCCUGCGGGAUCACGUGGAGAGCGCGGCCCUCAUUGAGUCGCGAGUGCCGCCGCAGCUGCGGCAGAAUCUGAUGGCGAACUUCAGGAACGGAAGCCGGCACGCGCCGUACUUCAUUUGCGGCUCGGAUGGCAGCGGCAAGAGCGCCCUCAUCAGCACCCUGUACGGGCAGGUGGGCAGCUGGUUCGUCUCGACGCGGGUCCACCGCGUGAUCCGCUUCGCCAAGGCCACGCCGCGCUCCGCCUACAACCUGGAGCUGCUGCGCGUGAUCUGUCAGCAGAUCUCGAUUAUCUUCAACAUCCCGGAGGGCUACCUGCCCAAGGACGCCUCCUUCGACCCGCUGUACAUCAGCACCUGGUUCCAGAACCUGCUGCGCCGCGUCGAGGACAUGAGCAACGACGUCCUCUUCCUGUUCAUCGACGACUUGCACCUGCUGAACCCCCUGGACUGCGACAUCGUGACCGCCCUCUCCUGGCUACCCACCUCCCUGCCCUGGAACGUACAGAUCAUCUGCAGCUCCACCACCCCCGUCGAGCAGCUCAAGUUCACGCCCAUGCAGCGGGACCGCUUCAAGUCGGCGGAGUACCAGUUCGACCUCAACCUGGGCGAGUACGCCACGCAGCUGCAGCGACCCCCGCAGUGCGUGCCCGAAGUCAGCUUCGUGCUCUACGUGGAGCAGCAGUUCGACGGCCUGGAGCGGCACUACGGCCGGCAGGCGGUGGGCAGCCUGGCCGCCUACAUCACCUGCUCCGAGUACGGGCUGAGUGAGACGGAGCUGCUGGAGCUGCUCAUGCCCACCGACGAUCCCGAGUCGCUGAUCGACACCAGAAGCGGACACUUCAGCUUCGCCACCUUCAAGAAGAUCCACAGGGAAAUGGACAAACUCCUGCUGCUGCACGACAAGAUCAUGUCCGGCAAGGUGCUUAUACAGUGGCGCCACAACUACUGCGCCGUGGUGGCCAAGAGGCGGUACAUGGGCUGGCAGAGGACGCGCAACCUGCACAUGGAGCUGGCGAACCUCUUCUUCCCGCAGGACGAGGACGAGAGCACGCUCGAAAACGAGUCCACGCAGAGUGAGACCAAGUCCGUGAUCAGCCUCAGGGACAGUCUCAGGGAGCGGGAUCUGCCGCACAAGGACAGGGAGCGCGAGAAGGACAACGUCUCCGCUGGUCGCAAGUCCUCGUCCACCCACCACAACGACGACACCUCCACCUUCUACAACCCCAUCGCCGCCGACGUGAGCUACAGCAUGCGGCACGUGGAGGAGAGCUGGCACCACCUGAUGCGCUCCGACGACACGACUCGCUUCAAGCAAAUCGCAGUCUGCAACUUUGAUUUCCUGCUGGCGGCGGUACAAACGGUCUCGAUCAGCUAUUUGCGCUGCCUGAUCGAGCACGUGCGCUGCUAUAUCCUCGAUAGGGACAUCGAGCUGAUCUACUACACGAUACGCAAGUCCAGCGACGUGCUGACCCGCGACCCCAUGCAGCUGGGGUCCCAGCUGAUCUCCUGGCUGCGUCCGAUCAGCGAGCACGACGACGACGACAACUCGCUGCUGAGCAUGACGGUACGGUCGGCCACCGCCUGGUGCGACGGAUACGCUGUGCCGCUGCUGGUGCCCCUCACGGGAUGGCUGCCAGCACCGCUGCCCUCGCAGAUUCGCACCAUGACGGUGUCGGGCACGGGCGUCAUCCGAGCCGUCUGCCUGGCGCCCUCGAAGCAGCACCUCAUCCUGGCCACCAGCUCGGGCGAGGUGCAGCAGUGGCACAUCAUGAGCAACUCGCUGGAGCACAUCUUCAAGGGACACACUGCGGCAGUCACGUGCCUGCUGGUGGCCCCGACAACCGAACCGGAGCUGCUACUCACCGGCUCCGAGGACACCAGCGUGCUGGUCUGGCACGUCUCGCAGCGCGACCGUCGGGCGCACAUAAACGCCCACACCGCCCCCAUAACGGGCGUGGCAGCCGGGGUCAAUAAUACGCUGAUCAUCAGCAGCAGCGAGGAUGCGACAAUCGCCAUCACAGACCUGGCCAGCGGCAAACUGAAACACCGCAUCAGCCACCACCGCGGACCGGUGAGCGGGAUCCUGGUGGCCGGAGCGUGCGAUGUCCUGAUCUCGGGCAGUCACGACCGAACCAUCUGCGUGUGGAACCUCGAGAACUUUGCGCUGCUGAACACCAUGCAAAUGAUGAGUCCCGUCCUGCGCAUCGACAUCUCAUGGAACUCGGUGUUCCUCCUGGCUCUCUGCGAGGACAAUGCUCUCUAUGUGCGCACUCUGGCCACGGGCAAGGAGCUGCACACGCUCAAGGGACACAAGUCAAAGGUACGGACCAUUUCCAUUGGCAAGGACAGCCAGCGCUGCGUGGUGGGGUGCGACGAUACGCGGGCCCUGAUCUACGACAUGCACUCGGGCAAGCUGGUGCGCUCGAUGCCACCCAACCCGGGGCCGGUGACCGCCGUCUAUGCCAUGGAAAACGACGACUUCCUGAUCACGGUGGGCGGCAACAAGAUCACCUUCUACUCGUUCCGCAACGAGGAGCUCUACGUGAACCCGUACUCCCGCAACCCGCGCCGCAAGCGCAGCCUGAAGCGGCACGCCCAAGCCCAGCGCUCGCCCUCGACGACCCUGCCCCCGAUCACGUGCUUCGACCUGUCCCGCGACUCGCAGCAGAUGGCCAUCGCCUCGGGCCGCAGCGUGCACCUGAUGCGGAUCAACACGCCGGAGUACCAGUGCAGCCUGGAGGGGCACGCGGGCGUGGUCAACUGCCUGAAGUUCGCGCCCAACGGAGAGUUCCUCACCACGGGCUCCGAGGAUCGGCUCGUGCAGGUUUGGAACCUGGCGGCGACCGAGACCAUCAACACCUUCAAGGGGCAUGCGGCGCCAGUGGUCAAGGUGGUGGUGCUGAUGGACUCGCUGCGGGUCAUCUCCACGGACCGGGACUCGCUGCUGCUCGUGUGGAUGGCCGACUCGGGCAACCUGCUGCAGACCAUCCAGGGGCCGUACAAGAGCCUGGUGGUGACCAACAACAUGCGCUUCGCCGCCUCCAGCAACGGGGACAACACCCUGAAGAUCUGGUCGCUCACCCAGGAGGACGAGAAGUACUCGGUCUCGCACUCGGACGAGAUCACCUGCUUCGAGAUCAGCGCCGACAGCAUGCACAUCAUCACCGGCUCUCGGGACAUGUCGCUGAAGGUGUGGCAGUCCACGGGCGGCAAGCUCAGCCAGGUGCUGGUGGGCCACAGCGACGCUGUGACCUGUGUGUCCGUCUCGGUGACCAACAAGACGCAGGUCCUCUCCGGCUCCAAGGACACGAACCUCAUCCUGUGGGACCUGCUCACAGGCGAGGAGGUUCACACGCUGGCCGGCCACUUGGGUCCUGUCAUUGGAGUGAAGGUGUCGGCCGAUGGUUCCACGGCUGUGUCGGGCAGCGAUGACAAGACCUUGAUCGUGUGGGAGACGAAGCGUGGCCUGGCCCUCACCUCGCUGCAGAUGCACGUGCCCUUCACCCACUUCGACAUCAGCCUGGAGGUGUCGCGGGUCCUGGUGCAGCUGGUGGACAGCUACAAUCUGCCGGUUAUCUGUCUGCACAACACCCCGGCGCAGUAUGUGAAGCUGCCCACGUACUCGGGACCCACCAAGGAUGUGGAUGAUCUCCGCCCGCAGGGCCCCAAGCGCCAGAUGAAGCGGCUGCUGAAGAAAGAGGUCUCCCUGGACACGUACACCUGGCAGAAGAAGUACGGCCACCUGACCUCGUCGGUCAUGAUGGCCCAGGUCGAUGAGCGCCUGAAGCGCCGCUUCAGCGUCUCUGCCAGCAUGGAGGAGAUCUCCAAGAUCGCCGAGAACAAGACGGGAGCCUCCCAGGCCAACCUCGGCCCCGAGCAGGCGGCUCUGGCCCAGUCGCAGCACUUUGACCAGCUGGAGGCGCUGUGGAACAAGCGAUCUCCGCCCCGUCGCCGCCACAAUGCGGGUCUGUCGAGGCAGACUUCGCUGGUGGAGGACCGACUCGAGUCGUCGGACGACGACGAGUACCAGGACGAGCGCGCAGCCAACGCCCACAGUUCGAAAACCAGUUCCCGCAGCUCACUGCCCCCAUAGACAACCAACCAACCAACCAUCCAACAAACUGUGACCGCAGUCCGCAAUAGCAGAGCAUCAAAUGGCACGGCACGGCACCACGGCACCCAACAGCCAACCCAACAGCUAACCCAACAGCUAGAUAAUACAUAUGUACUACGUCGAUAAAUAUUACAAAAACCUAAAUCUAUAGAAAACGUUGUUUACUCAGCUCACGGAAUGUUUGCAAGGAGAACGCACACAUCACAUCACAUACACAUACACAUACGCAUACGCAUACGCAUAGAUAUAGGAUCUACAAUAUUUAAAUAGCAGAAAUAUCCCCCCUCUCGAUUGGCAUGAGAUCUCACUGAACCAAAUGAAUGAAUAGAGCACUCCCUCCCUACUUAUAGUAGAGUAGUAGAACCCACCACAGAACGGCACGGCACUGUCCAAAUUGACGAACCCAAUUCGACAAAUUCGGCAAGUGUGUAGAAUAUUUUGUGAUUUUGUUUUCUGUUUUUAGACGACUUCGACGAUUUCUUUUAGGGGAAACAAACCUAUUGUCCCAGUAUAAGUAAAGUAUAAGAAAUACUCGUGCUUAGGAGAUACUUACAUACAUACAUAUGUACAUAUGUAUGUAUAUGUAUGUAUGUACCACAUAACUUUCGAACAGACUCGUACCUCACGCAAAUGCUGAAACCACUUUUGAGAAUUCUACAUGCAAGAAAUACUCGUACCGAAACCAAAUCGUUUAAUAGAGCUAUAACAAUAAUAUUAUUAACCAAAUAAUGACACAGAGUUGACUUGCACUAAGCAGACUGCACCUCCAGCUGGAUCCAAUCAAAUCACUUCGCUUCAGGAGGAGGAGGAUACCACAAAGGAUAAGGCCUGAAACGGCUGCAAUUACACUUUAGCAUUUAAGAUACAUUUAUUUCCAGAAUUGCAAGCAAUAAGUGCGUAACCGUAACCGUAACGUAACGUAACGUAACCGUAACCGUAACCGUAACGUAACCUAGCGCCACAAUUAACCGACAGCUAUGGCUGCGGGAUACCAUCCCCUAACGACCCCACCCCCACAACCAUUUGUGUGUGUAGACGAAAUAUUAAAUCAGAUAAACCACCGUCUCAGACUUUGUAGGAAUUAUAGCAUUAAGUGAGCCAAUUUGGACCUUUUAUUGUUGUACUUAGAAUGUUUUAUGUACUACUCACACUGAGAGCUAAUUGCUCCAGCACACAUUCCAACUUACCUACAUAAUUAUACAUACGUACAUGCAUAUAAAGCCAAUGUAUGUACGUACCACUUAGGAAUAGCGUAGAAUCUCUUUAACUGAGAAAUGCAAAUACAAACUCUCUGAGGGGCUAAAAGCGUAACUAUGCUUAAAAGGAAAACCUAAGACGCACGGGCGAGGAAGCACUAAUGCAAAAAUCAUAAAAUGUCUAUAAUAAGCUCCCACUUAAGUCCCAGCCGUGGCAGUACGUCGCCUGCUUAAAUGGGCUCCACAGUACGAGUACCCGAGCUGAGUAAAAUGUAUGUAGAGUGCCCUCUGCCCCCGCUCGAACAGCACUUUGGUAGGUAAGGUAGGGCUCGCACCUCCCUUGGAUAACUUCAAUAACUUUCUGACAAUCAGAGGUUCUGGCCUAGAACGAAAACCCCAAAACUAAGGAAACCAAAAUCUCAACAUGAAAAUUGAUAUUUCUACACAGAUAUUUCUAUGCAUGCCACAAGUGAAACUUUGUUAAACUAAGAACACGUCUACGUUGUGUAGUGUUGUGUAGUUGUAGUGUCCACUAGAUGUCGAUAGCCGAGCAUCUCCCGAGGAACUGUGCAUCUGGAUAUGGAUAUGGAUACGGAUAUGGACUUGGAUAUAGAUAUGAUAUGAUAUACGCAUAUAUGUAUGUAUGUAGUAAACUUAUAUGGAUCAAUGUACACACUGUCUAUGUCUAUUAAACCGAAAUUAAACUCUACUCAACUUUACUGCGAAA